rnacentral:tRNA from 1 species
GUCAGGAUGGCCGAGUGGUCUAAGGCGCCAGACUCAAGCUAUGCUUCCCGCGAACGGGCAUUCUGGUCUCCGUAUGGAGGCGUGGGUUCGAAUCCCACUUCUGACA